rnacentral:rRNA from 1 species
AUUGAACGCUGGCGGCAGGCCUAACACAUGCAAGUCGAACGAGUGGCGGAGGGGUGAGAAUUGUCUGGGAAACCGUCCGCUGGAGGGGGAUAACUACUGGAUACGGUAGCGAAUACCGCAUACAAUCGGAUGUGCCCAGAUGGGAUUUGCUUGUAGGUGUGGUAACGGCUCACCUAGGCGACGCUCCCUAGCUGGUCUGAGAGGAUGACCAGCCACACUGGAACUGAGACACGGUCCAGACUCCUACGGGAGGCAGCAGUGGGGAAUAUUGCACAAUGGGCGAAAGCCUGAUGCAGCCAUGCCGCGGGUAUGAAGAAGGCCUUCGGGUUGUAAAGUACUUUCAGCGGGGAGGCGUUACCCGCAGAAGAAGCACCGGCUAACUCCGUGCCAGCAGCCGCGGUAAUAC